rnacentral:pre_miRNA from 1 species
CAUGAGAUGCUCAUUUGAGCAAGCAAUGUUUGCAAGUGGAACUAUUAAAUAGUAUCAUGUAUGACUUUUCUUUUUUUUUGCUUUUGUUGAUAAAAUCUCCUUCCAGUUCCUAACGUUUCUUGCUUAAAUGAGUAUUCCAUG